UGGGGAAUUUUGCACAAUGGGCGCAAGCCUGAUGCAGCGACGCCGCGUGAGGGAUGAAGGCCUUCGGGUUGUAAACCUUUUUCGCUCAUGGUCAAGCCGCAGCUUUGGGUUGUGGUGAGGGUAGUGGGUAAAGAAGCGCCGGCUAACUACGUGCCAGCAGCCGCGGUAAUACGUAGGGCGCGAGCGUUGUCCGGAUUCAUUGGGCGUAAAGCGCUCGUAGGCGGUCUGUUAGGUCGGCAAGUUAAAUCCGGGGGCUCAACCCCCGUCCGCUUCCGAUACCGGCAGACUUGAGUUUGGUAGGGGAAGGUGGAAUUCCUAGUGUAGCGGUGGAAUGCGCAGAUAUUAGGAAGAACACCGGUGGCGAAGGCGGCCUUCUGGGCCAUAACUGACGCUGAGGAGCGAAAGCGUGGGGAGCGAACAGG
rnacentral:rRNA from 1 species